AUGGAUGGUCUUCUCCAUUGGGACUUUGCUCCGGGCCUAGCCCUUGCAAAUCAGGUGAGGCACAGGUUUGGCACGACAGUCCAUUUUUCCCCUUCCCAAGGAUCUAGGGAAUUCUUUAUGGUGGUCACUUUCUCCUCAGCCUCCUUUCCUCUCUCGGUGGAAUCUAUUGGUAUUGCUUUGCAAUGUUGUCUUGGGGGUCUAAGCUCUGGAUUCCAUGUCACCAAGAUCAAGGAUCGCACCUUCCGUUUUUCUGUUGCAAGCAACAAAGUUGGUCAUUUCAUAUAUGGUUUGAAAGAUCGAGUAUGGCUAGAUUUUGUUUGUCACUUCCAUCUUUUUAAUGGCCGAUAUGCUAGAGCUCCUGUCUCUGCCUCUUCCUGGCAUGCGGAUCAAGAAAAUUUGGACAUUCCUUCUCGGUCUCCAGUUGCGAUCAAGUCCAACCUUAGAUUCAAGACGCCAAUGGGCUCACCAGGAUCACGGUCUGCUCAGAUCCUUGGCAAAUUCAACAUUGUUCCAAUUGACAAGAUGGUUUUUUCAAACAAAAAUUCUUGCGAAGCUUCAUCUUCUGGUCAGAUGCUUCAUAAUUUGAAUUUGGAUGAUCCCUUGAUUCAGUAG
rnacentral:rRNA from 1 species